CCGCGCGCGCGCUCUGGAGACUCCUGCGGUCUCCCUAGCUGUUUCUUGAAGCUCUGCAUAAGCCUCGCCCGCGGCCGCCGGGUUGCGUCCGCACUUCUGCGCGCUGGCCCCUCCCUUGCUCCUCUCCCUAGCAGUCUCCAGGGUUUUACCGGGAGGACCUAGGCAACGGCCUGAGACUCCGAGGCUUCUAGGUAACAAGUCACUUCACUUCUCUGGGCCUCUUAAACUUCUCAUAUGAAAAUAGACUAGAUGAACCUGGAGAGACAUUUUCUGCCUGAUGUGGAAAGUGAAAGUGAAGAAAUUAGCUGUAUUUCCUAACACUCAGGAGACUCUAUGUUGAAGAUGCCUGGACUAACCUACUGAAGAUACGUGGUUUUACCAACAGCCAGCACCAAUAGGAAGAUAUGAAUGAAGCCAUCUGAGACCAGCCAUCUGGCAGCCAAACUGCCAACUGACUGCAAAUGCAUGAAUGAUCCCACUGACACCACGUAGAGCACAAAUGAGUUGCCUCCACUGAGCCCAGCCCAAAUUGUUAUCCUAUAAAAUCAUAAAAACAUAAACAGUUGUUUUAAGUCACUAAGUUUUGGAUAGUUUGUUAUACAACAAAAGCUAGCUGAAACAAAUGUAUUAGCUAGAGCAGCUGUGAAUGGCACUAUUUGCUUAGUUGAUUGGCUGAAAUUUGGACUCACUGGUAGGUUACAUUUAAUGGUGUUGAGUUGCCAGAAUUUCUCUGGAAUAAUGUAUAGGAAGGAUUCUAAUGGCCUAAGCCAUUAGAAUCUCUAAGGAGAUAGAAAUAAAGGAGUGAUUUAUUAUAUGUAACUGUGCCUCUUCCCUCACCACACUUGGUCCUGAAAGAGCCUAAGGAAUAGUUUCUUCUCUAAAGCAUUGAAAAAUGCUUUAAUGGGAGAAGCCCCAGCACCCUUGAACAUGUUCAGGCAGCUGCUUUCUAUAGGCCAAGGAUGUGGUGGGAAAAUCUGCCUGAUCUCAAUGUAGAUGAUGAGAUCCCAGAGUAGCGAUCAGCAUUUUUUACCAGCAGGAAUAAUCUUUGGUGGUGGUUGGCUCUAAGAAUUAAAUAGAUGUGGGCCGGGCGUGGUCUCACUAUAUUGAAGUAAACUGAUGCGUAGAGGUCAACCAAUAUAUUCAGAGUUGUAUAACUCAUACCUAGUUGAGCUGGGGUUUGAAUCUCUGAUGCCAGAACCCACACGCCACCUACACUCCUAUAGCACUUCCCUGGAAAAGAGUGAAAUUAAUUAUUAUUAUUAAAUUCUGGGAUACAUGUGCUGAACCUGCAGGUUUGUUACAUAGGUAUACAUGUGCCAUGGUGGUUUGCUGAAUCUAUCAACAUGUCAUCUAGGUAUUUGUCCUAAUGCUCUUCUCUGCUUUCCCCCAACCCCCUCAACAGGCCCUGGUGGGUGAUGUUCCCCUCCUUGUGUCCAUGUGUUCUCAUUGUUCAACUCCUACAUAUGAGUGAGAACAUGUGGUGUUUGGUUUUCUGUUCCUGUGUUAGUUUGCUGAGGAUUAUGGUUUCCAGCUUCAUCCGUGUCCCUGCAAAGGACAUGAACUCAUUCUUUUUUUAUGGCUGCAUAGUAUUCCAUGCUGUAUAUGUGCCACCUUUUCUUUAUCCAGUCUAUCAUUGAUGGGCAUUUGGGUUGGUUCCAAGUUUUUGCUAUUGUGAAUAGUGCUGCAAUAAACAUACGUGUGCAUGUGUCUUUAUAGUAGAAUGAUUUAUAAUCCUUUGGGUAUAUACUCAGUAAUGUGAUUGCUGGGUCAAAUGGUAUUUCUGGUUCUAGACCCUUGAGAAAUCACCACACUGUCUUCCACAAGGGUUGAACUAAUUUACACUCCCACCAACAGUGUAAAAGUGUUCCUAUUUCUCUGCACCCUCGCCAGCAUCUGUUGUUUCUGAAAUUAAUUAUUGACCAGCAAAGAGACCACACAGUAUAAAAAUACCACUUUAAACCCCAUGUGGUAGGAAAUCAGGGCACAUUAUGGUGUGUAACAAAAAAUAUAGGUUUGUUGCUCUAAUUCCAUCCCUUUCAAACUGAACAAGCAGCCUUAACCAAAUUACUUAACCUCUCUGUGCCUUUCCUUAUCUGUAAAAUGGAGUAAUUAAUAGUGUCUUUUUCAGAGAGUUUGGGGAUGAUUUGUUCCAAUAGUAUGUGUAAAAUGCUUAACAAUAUUGGGCAAUAGCAAGUACUUGAUAAAUGUUAGGUGUUAAGAUAGCAUGCUGUAGUAUAGAAAAUUUCUGAAGCUAAGACACAUUGCCUUAUGAUUUUCUCCCCUGACAGAACCCAGAUUUCAGGAUACUACAGCUAGAUUGCUCUCUCCCUAUUUGGUAAUCUAAAAGAUAGCCCCAAUCUAGGAACAAAGAUGGGAAUAUUUUGACAGAAGCCAUUAUGCCACUGGGUUCCUAACAGAGUUAAACAAAACUCCCCAAGCAUUCAACAUGCCAAUCACAUAUCUGGGGCAUGGGUGGGGGUAGGGGCAGCAUAGGUGGGCUUCUUCCAGGGAAGAAGGCCUUGUCUCCUGCCCUGCUCUCUGUGGUGUUAGGAAGUGCUCCUCCUCCAGCAGGAGCCCCAGAUCAAGCAUCCCUAGGACCCAACCCUGCUGAAAAGUACAUCCAAGUUUGCCUCAAAGGCCUUCAAAUCUUUGGGAGCCAAAUGGCGUAAUAGGAUAUUAAACUUACUGACUUGCAAGACCCUGAGCAAACCUCUUACCCAAAAGUAGAAUAUAUAAAGAACGUUGAAGAAUAACAAUUGAGUUUUAUUCUUUAAAGGCAUUCUCUGAUUUACAUGAGAAUUGA
rnacentral:lncRNA from 10 species